UUUUAACUAUUAUGCACUUUUACUAAUUGGUAAAUGUGUUUAAAACCAAUUUUUCAGUUAUUAUUUUUACCAAACACCAGUUUUUCCAAACUACAUGUUUUCCUAGUUGGGAUAAAUUAAUAUUAGGAAAACUGGUCAUUGGUAAAAAGUGUACAAUGGAAAAAGUGGUCCUUGGUAAUAUAUGCAAUUUGGAAAAAGUGGUGUUAUCCCGUCGCUAGCGAUAAACAACAUGGUAUUAUCAAUUAUAUUUAUAAGGGAUAACAAAUGUUAUCAAUAUCCAUUACUGAUAACAAAAUGUACAUACUACACACAGAUAGGUACAAUACAAAUUAGAAUUUUCAUUCAAAUUAAUUAUUAUUACCAAACCUUGUUAUACUUCGACGUUUUAUACGGCUAAUAUAACAGUAGCUGUAGUCUUGUAGACCUUAAACCUAUUUUUUUUUUUUAAUUAUAUUGUUUAUAUUAUUUUAAUUAUAAGAUAUUAUAUUCUUCGUUUGGAAUAUCUGUAUCCAAUGAAUCGGCAAAAAGAUAUCUGCAAGGUAGUAACAUUAGGAGCUUCUGGUGUCGGAAAAACAUGCUUAUUGCAAAAGAUAAUGUAUGGAACAUAUAAUAAUGAAAAUUCGAUGACCAAAGGAAUCGAUUGUUUACAUAAAACUGUUGAUUUGGGAAAUAAAUUAAUUAGACUAGAACUGUGGGAUACAGCUGGACAAGAGAGAUUUGAUGCUUUGAAUAAGUUUUAUAUAAGAAAUGCAAUGUGUAUAUUACUUGUCUACGAUAUUACCAAUGAGGAGUCGUGUUUUAAACUGAAUAAGUGGUGUGAUUUGAUUGAUGAGGGGCGAUUACUCUUUUGUCCUCCGAUUCAAUCCGACUCUGUAGAUUAUAUUAUUCUAUUCCUUAAGCAACCUAUUACAGCCAUUAAAGCAUUCUUCAAGGAUGAUAUUUUGGCAGAUCCUUUUUACUAGAUAUUUUCUGCCUAAUUAACAGAGCUGCACGAUGCUGAGUAUGAAAACUAGCAACAGCGAGCGCUAUACAUUGCCUUUUAAAAACAACAAGCACCAAGUGAUGUAAUCAAAAUUUUGGUUGGUAAUAAAUGUGAUAAACGUACCAGAAUGAUUACAACUGAAAUCGGGCAAUCGGUAGCUGAUUAUUUAAAAAUGCCAUUUAUAGAGAUAUCAUCGAAAGAAGAUGUCAAUGUAGAUGAAUUAAUGGAUUUAAUGUUGGUAAUGUUAGUACAAUUACUAGAAAACCGAAAAAUUUUAUUAGAAGAAAAAAGAUUACAAGAUGCAUUCCGUAUUUCGCAAAGAGACUCUGAAAUCAAUGAACAAAGCGGCUGGGAAUGGUUACGCCAAUACUGUUCUUAUAUUUAAUUUAUUCAAGUUUAAAUUUAUAUUUACUCGUCAACUAUUACUUAUAGUAAAAUAUGUUUUAAAAUAAUGUAUGAUAUGUACUAAAUGUAUAGUUUUUCUGUACAUUGUUUUAAGUAAUUUUAACUUAACGACAUGGUUUUAUGAUACCAAGAUAAUUUUUCUUUAUUGUAAUUUUGUAAGAUUUUAAGCUUAAAUACAUUUUUAUCUUUUAUAAAACUGGUAUUUUAUAGUUGAAACGAUUUAUUCAUUGAUAUAUAUUUAAAAAAGAGUUUUAAUUGUAUAUAAAAAUGAAUGACUAGCUUUAACAAAUUGACUAGUAUUAAAUGUAUUAUAUUUAGGAUACAAAACAGCAUAAUGUUAAGCAAGCAACGUACCAGUGUUGUUUUUUACUUUCGCCUAUUUAACUCUUCGAUUCUGGUCAAUUCUUUAUCGGUAAUUUAAUGUCUAAAUAAAUUAAACUAAUAAUGUUCUUGUCGGGUUUAGUAAGAUAAUUAAAAUUGUAUACAUGAAGAAUAAUUGUCAUCGAUAGAUGCAAUGAAAUUGUUAUGAUAAAUAACUACUGAUAAAUGAAUAAAUAAUAUACUUAACUAGUAUAUUU